UCCUCCAAAUGGCUGCAAUGGCAAGGGCUGGGCCAGGCCAAAGCCAGGGACCAAGAGCUUCUUCCAGUCUCUGGCAUGGGUGCCAGGGCCCAAGGACUUGGGCCAUCGUCUGUUGCUUUCCCCGGGCCAUUAAGAGGGAGCUGGAUCAGAACAAGAGAGCCGGUACAUGAACCAGUGCUCACAUGGGAUGCUGGCAUUGCAGGCGUCAGCUUUACCCACCAUGCCACAAGACCGGCUCCCUUCUCCUUUUUUAAUGGAAUAAAUUCAAUUAUUAUCCUCAUGGGAAGAAAGCAAUUACACCCAAGGAAGGAAAGAUAAGGCACUUCUUAAGCAUCACCAGGCAUCAACACAACCCUGAACAGGAGGAUGAUGUCCCCAUUUGGCAGGCAUUUUGCUGAGCGAUAUGGGAGACAGAACUGAAGCAGUCAUUUCCCAGCAAACGAGUAAACAGUGAAACAAUGUGGAAAGACACCCUGUGCCAAGAGCAGUCUUGGGUGAGUACACUGUGUUCAGGCAGUGAAACUGUUUGGGUGAAAUACUCGAUGUGGAGUUUGUGUGAGCUAGGAAAGCCCAUGUUGAAGCCCAGGUUUCUGGCUGAGGCCGUUGCGUGGAAGGGCUGGUACCUUCCACUGAGCUAUGGAGUAGAUGAAGCCUGAGUUUGAGAAACAGAGUUCCGUUUAGGGCAUAUUCUGUUUCAGGCACCUGUGAGAAGACAGCCGAGUGGAGAUGAAUAGUCAGGAAAGACUGUAGGGCUGAAGAUGGGCACAGGAGCAGACUGUGAGAGCAGUGGGUGUGACGUCAGAAGACGGACUGCCCAGGCUUGGAUUUGGGAUGGACCACUUGUAUUAUCUGUGAUCUUGGG